ensembl:lncRNA
AAUUGGGCGGCUGGAUCUCUCACUUUGUCCCUGAAGCAGAGAAGAAGUUCAAAGGACAGUCAAUCGCCUGAUGAAGACCGAUAGAACAUUGUGGACUUGAAUACAGCAGCAGGCAAACGGCAGUGCCACUGAUCCAUUAACACUGAUGACGACUGACGACCAGCAGCAGCAUGUAAGAGUAAUGUAACAUGUACUGUGAAAAUACAGGCUGGGCAGUUGAACAGUGGGAUAAAGAAUUGUGGAAGAGCACUGGACAUUGAGUGAUAUUUUGCCAUGCUGGGACUUAAUCUGAAAGAAAGACUGUAAAGAAACAGAGAAGAAGACAACAGCUGAGUUGAGACUGUGUUUGCUGGAGCUUUGAAGCCCGAACAGGACAUUGUGCAGAGAGGACCAGUGAGAGAUGAAGCUGGACGAGUUUGACUGCGAGAAUAUAGGAUAUAAUUGGAUUGAAAAUUGAAACCUGAACUCAUGAAUUGUUUAGGGAUGUCCACUACAGCAUAACAAAGAGGUAAACAUUAGAAAAGGUAGGAAUAAUGAACGAAAAUAAUUGUCAUUACCUUAAUGAAUAGAAAACACACAUACAAAUUGUUACAUGUGAGAUUAUUUUUGAAAUGAAUCAGAAGUGAGAUAGUUUGAAUCUAAAGCUCAGUGGUGAAAUGCAUAAAUUAAAUAUGAAUAUAUAGGAUGCAAUGAAGAAACAGCUUACACGUAGUGUACAUUAACAUGAAUACAUCGCAAGGCAACGAAGAACUCAAUGAAUUAAUUUAAUGAAGAAGCAGUUUACACCCAAUUAACAUAAAAUGCAGGGAAGAACACGCUUACAUGCAUGGCAUAAUUGGUGUUUCUGAUCAGAGAUAGAGAAAUGGGUUAUUUAACCACUGGUGAUAAUAAUGAAAAUGUCUUAGUUUGUUAUUUUCAGGGGUAAAAGCAGACCCAGGCCAAUUCUCCAGAUGCAGGAGUCUGAAGAAAUUACAGGUUAACAUGAAUGGAUAUGUUAAGGCAAGUUUCUGGUUGAAUUGUUCACAGCAUGAUGUGUCCAGGAACCUGAAAAGCAAGCCCCAGCUCCUGGCUGAAGACCAGGAGGGCGGUAAUUUAAGGUGGGAAAUCAAAAUGUGGGCUAGUAACUCGGGGAAAAAGAAAACUGACUGCUUAACUGGAGAGUUGGGAAGAAGUCUGGGAGACUGUGAAGCCAUAGAUGCAAAAUAACAUAUACCCAUACACACACAAACAGAAAAUGCAUUAACCUUACAAAGACAAGCUCAUGAAGCUUGUCUAAUCAAAGCUUGAUGCAUAGAGACAUUGAUUGAAAACCCGCUAAGAACACAAGCGUAUGCAAUGAAGAUCAGCUUGCUGGUUG